AUAGUUUGAUUAUGGCUCAGAACGAACGCUGGCGGUAUGCUUAACACAUGCAAGUCGAACGUGAAAGCAGACUUCGGUCUGUAAGUAAAGUGGCGCACGGGUGAGUAACACGUGGAUAAUCUACCCGACAAUCAGGGAUAACAUUUCGAAAGGGAUGCUAAUACCUGAUAAGCCCACGACCUCUUCGGAGGCUGUGGGAAAAGGUGGGGACCUUCGGGCCUACCGUUGUCGGAUGAGUCCGCGUCCCAUUAGCUAGUUGGUAGGGUAAUGGCCUACCAAGGCUACGAUGGGUAGCUGGUCUGAGAGGAUGAUCAGCCACACUGGAACUGAGACACGGUCCAGACUCCUACGGGAGGCAGCAGUGGGGAAUUUUGCGCAAUGGGCGGAAGCCUGACGCAGCAAUACCGCGUGAGUGAUGAAGGCUCUUGGGUCGUAAAGCUCUGUCAGAGGGGAAGAACCUCCUGUCGUUUAAUACGCGGCAGGCCUGACGGUACCCUCAAAGGAAGCACCGGCUAACUCCGUGCCAGCAGCCGCGGUAAUACGGAGGGUGCGAGCGUUGUUCGGAAUUAUUGGGCGUAAAGAGCAUGUAGGCGGCUCGUCAAGUCUGAUGUGAAAGCCCUGGGCUCAACCCAGGAAGUGCAUUGGAAACUGGCGAACUUGAGUACGGGAGAGGAAAGUGGAAUUUCGAGUGUAGGGGUGAAAUCCGUAGAUAUUCGAAGGAACACCAGUGGCGAAGGCGGCUUUCUGGACCGAUAC
rnacentral:rRNA from 1 species